AGACCCGAAACCCGGUGAUCUAGCCAUGGGCAGGUUGAAGGUUGGGUAACACUAACUGGAGGACCGAACCGACUAAUGUUGAAAAAUUAGCGGAUGACCUGUGGCUGGGGGUGAAAGGCCAAUCAAACCGGGAGAUAGCUGGUUCUCCCCGAAAGCUAUUUAGGUAGCGCCUCGUGAAUUCAUCUCCGGGGGUAGAGCACUGUUUCGGCUAGGGGGCCAUCCCGGCUUACCAACCCGAUGCAAACUGCGAAUACCGGAGAAUGUUAUCACGGGAGACACACGGCGGGUGCUAACGUCCGUCGUGAAGAGGGAAACAACCCAGACCGCCAGCUAAGGUCCCAAAGUCAUGGUUAAGUGGGAAACGAUGUGGGAAGGCCCAGACAGCCAGGAUGUUGGCUUAGAAGCAGCCAUCAUUUAAAGAAAGCGUAAUAGCUCACUGGUCGAGUCGGCCUGCGCGGAAGAUGUAACGGGGCUAAACCAUGCACCGAAGCUGCGGCAGCGACGCUGAUGCGUUGUUGGGUAGGGGAGCGUUCUGUAAGCCUGUGAAGGUGGCCUGUGAGGGUUGCUGGAGGUAUCAGAAGUGCGAAUGCUGACAUAAGUAACGAUAAAGCGGGUGAAAAGCCCGCUCGCCGGAAGACCAAGGGUUCCUGUCCAACGUUAAUCGGGGCAGGGUGAGUCGACCCCUAAGGCGAGGCCGAAAGGCGUAGUCGAUGGGAAACGGGUUAAUAUUC
rnacentral:rRNA from 2 species